AUGCCUGGAAGCCAAGGAAGAUAUAGGAAUAACCAGAAAGAACUGCAGAAGUCCCAAAGACACGAUGUUAUCACAUGUCCUCCCCUGCCACAUAUAUACCUGCACAAUUCAGAUACCAGAAAAACAACCAAAAUGAAGUAUUGCAGCCUUGGUGCCCCCAGGUACCCAGCCCCAGCCAGUGUUUCUGCUGAAGUACAGGCUGUGAAGGAUUCCCAGCGACAUACCUACUUCUGACUCAGACAGAAACUGCAGCAUCUAGUAUCAGUACUUCUGUGUUUCUAUGGCACUUCAGAAUUGUCAGUGGAUGGUAUGUCUCCGUGUGAUACACUUAUCUCUAGCAUUCAGUGUAAAAUCCUGAAUCUGUGCUGGUUACAAGAAGGCCACAAAACACAACCCAAGUUCUGCAAAAGGUAUGUUACACCUUCACAGCUGGCCAUAAUUCUGUGUCUUUCUGAGGAAACAAUUCACAUACUUCAUGUCAGUUAUGUAUAGUUCCCUGGGGCACACUAUAUACACUUCAGGAAGUGCCAUAUACAUUGUUGUCAAAACAAAAAAUAAAAUACUUUGAUUAAAUAAGACUAAUCAGUGUCCUGCUGACUAGGGUUAUUUGAGAUUAUAAGAAACUAUGGAGGCUGCUCCGAAAAUCAUGUCUUCCAUACUGUUACAUUGGUUCACAAUGUCAGAGGCAGUACUAGUAGUAUGGCAUUGGGGUUGAAUCUUCCCACCAAGAUUCUUUUCCAUUUUGUUGCUGUGAAGAGACGGCAGCAGAGGGACAGUCUGACACAAGAGCAUCUGACAUGGUAGUGCAAGUGAAGCAAAGGUGUGUCACCAAAUUCCUCCAUAUGGAAAAAAUUGCACCCACUGACAUUCAUCGAUGUUUGCUGUACAUUUACAGAGACGAAACAGUGGGUGUGAGCACAGCGACAUAGUGGGUGGUGUGUUUCAGCAGUGGUGACGACAACAUGGAAGACAAGCCACACUCCAGAUGGCCAAGCACAGCUGUCACACCAUGAAAUGAAGAGCAUCUUGAUUAGCUCAUCCACAUGAAUCAGCGGAUUAUGACCAGGGAACUGUGUACAGAGCUGAAUAUUGGCUUCAAUGCAUUGGAAACGAUGGUUGCAACACUGGAAUACUGCAAUGUUUGUGCCACCUGGGUCCAGCAAACGCUUACUGAGGAACAGAAAGAAUACUGUCUGCAAGUUUUUCAAGACUUAUUGAACCAAUACAAGGCUGAAGGAGACAGUCUCCUGGAUCAAGAUGUGGUAUAACUACUACAAGCCAGAGUACAAACAGCAGUCCAUGGAGUGGCGACUAUGAAUUUGCCAUAAAAAAAGUUGUUCAGGACACAGCCCUCAGCUAGUAAAGUGACAUGUCACAUCUUUUGGGAUAGGAAAGAAGUGAUCCUUCUGAAUUUCCUACAACUUGGAUAAACCGUUAACUCAGACUUCUGUAUCACAAUGGUGACUAAGUUGAACGCUCAAACUUCCAGAGUUAGGUCAGAGAAGAUGACAAAACCUUCCUCUUGCAACAUGAUAAUGCCAAGCCACGUAACAGUUUGAAGAUCGGAGCACACUGCCAGUCGCAGCUGUACUCUCCUGCAACACUAACUGUACAGUCCAGAUUUGGCAGCUUCUGACUUCCAUCUGUUCAGGUCAAUUGAAAACGGCCUGUAUGGACAACAUUUUCCUAGCAAUGACACUAUUCUAUCAGAUGAGAAACAGUGGGUCACUGCCCCUGAUAGUGAGUUUUACAAGCAUGGCAUACAGGCUCUUAUUCAUUGCUGGUGAAAAUGCAUAGCUAAUGAUGGUGACUAUGUUGAAAAACAGUAUUUUGUAGCUGAGAAUUUUCUCUAUGAAAUAAUGUUAUUGUGCUCUCUGUAUCUACUGUAGUUCCCAUGAAAAUAAAUAGGAGGCAUUACUUUCAGAGCAACCCAUGUACUUGAUACAUCUUGACCAACAGGACUCCUUGAGCUACUGCAGUCUUUUGAUAGGGCAUCCAGACUGUUUGAUUCCAUAGCAAAUACCAAUUUAACUACAGACUCCUGCAAAAUUCAUUUGCUAUCAGAAGAAUAAUCCUAACUGAUACUCUUACAGCAACAGAACCACAGAAAUCACAGAAACGCUAAGGUUGGAAAAGACCUAAAGAUCACCCAGUCCAACCAUCCACCUAUCAAUCAACAGUUCUCACUAAACCACAUCCCUCAACACAACAUCCAAGUGUUCCUUGAACACUUCCAGGGUCGGUGACUCCACCACCUCCCUGAGCAGCCCAUUUCAGUGCCUAGAAAAACAUAGUUUUCCUACAUAUAAAUCAUCUUAAUUAUCUGUACUAACACUUUGGACAAUGUUGAUGAAAAUGAAGUCCCCUCUAGGUUCAUGUAGUUUAAAACACAGUGCCCCUGAGGAAAGUGGGGGAUUACGUAUUAUGACCUACAAUCGGGUAUUACUACUGAAAGCAUUUUCAACUUGCUAAAGGAACUUAAAAGAAAUUAAAGCAAAUUUAUUUCUGAAGGAAAUAAAACAUUUGAUUUUUUGCAUUCUGAGGUCAGAUGUUGGUGUUGGUUUUGAUUUGCACGCAGUGCCAGGGUUGAAGGAACAUUUUGGAUUUCUGCCUCUUCAUUAUAUCUUCAAACUAGCAGCCUGAAUCUCUCCUUAGAGCUUUGUUUUGGAUAUGUUUGAUCUUGGUUGAGGUUGAAUCAUAGCUGGCUGCUUACCUAAUCCUCAUUAUUUUUCACAUUUUGAAACAAAAGAUAACCUGGAAAUAAAUAUAAUUAGUUACUAGAAUUUACUAACAUCUGUGACAUGCUUUUUGUUCUCAGCUUCUGAAGACAUAUCUGAGAAGACGAAUGAAUAUGAAGAUUUAAUCAUAGGAUCAACUGUGCUGGCAAUUCAUUUCACUGUUUUUGAAAUGUUUUCCUAAAUUCAAAAUUCAUUCAUGAGUUAAAAAUCCCCUGUCAUUUCCAGUAGAUUAAAAUAAGACUACUAAAAACAAUCAGCCAGGAAUUUUACUAUUAGCCUGAGGAUGACUACAGAUAUUAAACCAUAAACAUCCUCAAAUUCUCUUAGCAAUCUAAACUUUCAUCUUCAGUCACCAACUAUUUUAAUGGCACAAAAAGCAUUUCAUUGAAGCAUCCAUCCAAAAAUUUUCUAUCUAUCACAGCUGGGAAAAGUAUAAAUAUAACAUUUUCCAGGUAUACGCAGAUAUCUAACACCUUUACUUUUCUAUCCUGUUAAACCCAACUCAGUCACAAUUCAAAACUUGAAAUAUUCACUGAAGACAAGAGAUUGCCUUUUUCAGUGUUUGCAGUCCUUAUCUCAUACAGGACCAACAGUGAAUGAGAAACAUCCUGGGACUGCAAAGUAAAAAACUCUGGUCUCUGUUAAAAUCCUCGUUUAAAUGAAUAGGUGAAUAUUUCUUCUUACCCUUUGAAAGAUUAAUGCUUGUACAUAGGGAAUAUUUAUUAAAUAUCAUUUGUGACCAUUAGUAUCAAAUUACAGAGAAGCUCCAAUGAACAAACAGCAUUUUGUAGUAAGAGGAAAUAAAAAAAGAAAACACAUGAAAAACAAACAUACUGUGGGAAUAUGUAAAUGGUUUUCUGAAAAUGGAUGAAGUUGAAGAAUCUUUUCUCAGUAUCUUUGUUUGCAUUAUGUGUUGCAAAAAUAUAUAUGACACACAUAACGGCAAUAUAAAAAUAACAGGCUGCUCAUGAAAAGAAAUUCUACGGGAACAGCAUAUGGUGGUUUUAUUUAGUGUGGCUUUUGAGUUUCAGGGAAACAGAUCAAUAUAAGUGAAGAGGAGUGAAUGCUAAAAGAAGUUGACCCUGUAAAAGAAAAUCUACAUGAUCUACAUGCUCUUUAUUCCUAAGCAUCAGAAAGACAUAGAAUGAGAAGAAAGUAGAUUGAGGAAACAGUUUCAAGCAACUUAGUUUUAGUUAAAAUUUUCCUUUAACGUUUUCUUAUCUACCUUUUUCCCCCAUCCAUGACAAGUCACAGAGGGAAAGGAGGGAAGGAAACGGAGGAAAAAAGAAAAAAAGUCUUCUUGAGCACUGGUCAAAACCAAAGGCUUCUUUGACCACUUCAGCAUAUUGUGCUUCUGUAUUAUCAAGGAAGUAAGAGCACUGGUUGCAGCUGUGUGCAAUGUCUUUCGGGAUAUGUAAAUGAAAGAAACACCUUGUAAAGAACAGUGUGUUGCAAUGUAAAACAUUAAGCUGGAAACUUGGGGAUACUAAUGAAAAUGAAAACACUAUAUGCCUGAUCUUGUUUUAUUCUUCUGAUUUUUCUCUUGUAAGAUUAAGACCUCUCCUAAAGAUAACANNNNNNNNNNNNNNNNNNNNNNNNNNNNNNNNNNNNNNNNNNNNNNNNNNNNNNNNNNNNNNNNNNNNNNNNNNNNNNNNNNNNNNNNNNNNNNNNNNNNAAAAAAAAAAAAAAACAAAAACGCAGUGUAGAUGGAGUUUUAAGAUUUUUGUAAAUGAGUAUGUCUUGCAUCCUACAACACCUCACAAUUCUGAUACACAGGUGCUCCGAUCAUAAAGGAAAAUUA
ensembl:lncRNA